GACGUAGGGUGCGAGCGUUGUCCGGAUUUAUUGGGCGUAAAGAGCUCGUAGGCGGCUCGUCGCGUCGUCCGUGAAAACCCGCGGCUUAACCGCGGGCUUGCGGUUGAUACGGGCGGGCUAGAGUUCGGUAGGGGAGACUGGAAUUCCUGGUGUAGCGGUGAAAUGCGCAGAUAUCAGGAGGAACACCGGUGGCGAAGGCGGUUCUCUGGGCCUGAUCUGACGCUGAGGAGCGAAAGCGUGGGGAGCGAACAGG
rnacentral:rRNA from 1 species